rnacentral:rRNA from 1 species
GAGCGAAUCUUGNAGGAGCUUGCUCCUUAAGGUUAGCGGCGGACCGGUGAGUACACGUGGGCAACCUGCCUGUAAGACUGGGAUAACACCGGGAAACCGGUGCUAAUNACCGGAUAAUUCUUUUCCUCACAUGAGGGGAAGUUGAAAGACGGCUUCGGCUGUCACUUACAGAUGGGCCCGCGGCGCAUUAGCUAGUUGGUGAGGUAACGGCUCACCAAGGCGACGAUGCGUAGCCGACCUGAGAGGGUGAUCGGCCACACUGGGACUGAGACACGGCCCAGACUCCUACGGGAGGCAGCAGUAGGGAAUCUUCCGCAAUGGACGAAAGUCUGACGGAGCAACGCCGCGUGAGUGAUGAAGGCCUUCGGGUCGUAAAACUCUGUUGUUAGGGAAGAACAAGUGCCGGAGUAACUGCCGGUACCUUGACGGUACCUAACCAGAAAGCCACGGCUAACUACGUGCCAGCAGCCGCGGUAAU